GUGUGUAUAGCUCAGUGGUAGAGUGUGUGCUUAGCAUGCAUGAAGUCCUGGGUUCAAUACCCAGUACCUCCA
rnacentral:tRNA from 1 species